GAGCAGAGGGGGCAAGCGUUGCUCGGAAUUACUGGGCGUAAAGGGCGCGUAGGCGGGAUGGCAAGUCGGUCGUGAAAUCCCUCGGCUCAACCGAGGAACGUCGAUCGAUACUGCUGUUCUUGAGGAUUGCAGAGGAGACUGGAAUUCCCGGUGUAGCGGUGAAAUGUGUAGAGAUCGGGAGGAACACCGGUGGCGAAGGCGGGUCUCUGGGCAAUUCCUGACGCUGAAGGCGCGGAAAGCGUGGGGAGCAAACGGG
rnacentral:rRNA from 1 species